UGGGGAAUAUUGGACAAUGGGCGCAAGCCUGAUCCAGCCAUGCCGCGUGGGUGAUGAAGGCCUUCGGGUUGUAAAGCCCUUUUGUUGGGGAAGAAAUCGUGCAGGUGAAUAUCCUGCGCGGAUGACGGUACCCAAAGAAUAAGCACCGGCUAACUCCGUGCCAGCAGCCGCGGUAAUACGGAGGGUGCAAGCGUUAUCCGGAUUCACUGGGUUUAAAGGGUGCGUAGGCGGAUAUGUAAGUCAGUGGUGUAAUCAACGGGCUCAACCUGUUAACUGCCAUUGAUACUGUGUAUCUUGAAUAUGAGAGAGNUAGGCGGAAUGUUGCAUGUAGCGGUGAAAUGCUUAGAUAUGCUACGGAACACCGAUUGCGAAGGCAGCUUACUAUUUCGUAAUUGACGCUGAGGCACGAAAGCGUGGGUAGCGAACA
rnacentral:rRNA from 1 species